rnacentral:misc_RNA from 1 species
UUAACAACCUCAUCAAGGAGCUCCUGAGCAGCCUUCAAGUACUUGGAGCUCAACAGCACUCCUUGAAUACCCGACACCCCAUUAGUCACGCCUGAACCUGAGGAUACUGACCCACCAGAGACCCUCAUAUCUUCACCUGACACCCCCUGAGCCUGUGACCUGUAGCCCGGCUGCUGCUGCGAAGAAAGGCUUAAAGAGAGUCCUUGCUGAGCGCGUGGAGUUUCACGCGCAGCCG